GUAGGUGGCAAGCGUUGUCCGGAAUUAUUGGGCGUAAAGCGCGCGCAGGCGGUUCUUUAAGUCUGAUGUGAAAGCCCACGGCUCAACCGUGGAGGGUCAUUGGAAACUGGAGAACUUGAGUACAGAAGAGGAAAGCGGAAUUCCACGUGUAGCGGUGAAAUGCGUAGAGAUGUGGAGGAACACCAGUGGCGGAGGCGGCUUUUCUGGUCUGUAACUGACGCUGAGGCGCGAAAGCGUGGGGAGCAAACAGGGAUUAGAUACCCUGGUAGUCCACGCCGUAAACGAUGAGUGCCAAGUGUUAGGGGGGUUUCCGCCCCCUUAGUGCUGCAGCUAACGCAUUAAGCACUCCGCCUGGGGAGUACGGCCGCAAGGCUG
rnacentral:rRNA from 1 species